rfam:Erinaceus europaeus unplaced genomic scaffold scaffold00701, whole genome shotgun sequence
AAAGUGGAUUUACUAAAAUCCAUUUAGGCUUUAAUAAUAAUUGUUU